rnacentral:rRNA from 1 species
UACAGAGGUGGCAAGCGUUGUUCGGAAUUACUGGGCGUAAAGGGCGCGUAGGCGGCCAUCUAAGUCAGACGUGAAAUCCCUCGGCUUAACCGGGGAACUGCGUCUGAUACUGGAUGGCUUGAGAUUGGGAGAGGGAUGCGGAAUUCCAGGUGUAGCGGUGAAAUGCGUAGAUAUCAGGAGGAACACCAGCGGCGAAGGCGGCGCUCUGGGCCGGUACUGACGCUGAGGAGCGAAAGCGUGGGGAGCAAACAGG